AUGUCCAUCCAUUUUUGCUUACUAUUAUCGAAUAUUCGAAUGAUAUUCAUAAAAGAGCUAGUGACUAGUCAUUUGUUUCUUUUGCAGAAAAGUGUGCAAAGGCACUAUAAACUUCCAGAUUUGGACUGUGAGGCUUGUGACAAGAGACAAGGGCAUGAAAGAAAGACGAGGGACCCGGGCGAGAAGAAAAGAAGUUACCAGGGCAAGCUAAAGAAGAGGAGGGAUCUUCUUGUGGAGAAAGAAGAAAGCAGGAGGGUCAAUGAGAAAAUGUCCAGAUCAGCCGUGAGGGGAUCAAAAUCCCUAGCUCAUCAUUGA
rnacentral:rRNA from 1 species